GGAGUUAGCCGGUGCUUCUUCUGUGAGUGAUGUCCUUCCUGCCGGUUAUUGACCCGCAGGCCUUCUUCCUCACUGAAAGUGCUUUACAACCCGAAGGCCUUCUUCACACACGCGGCAUGGCUGGAUCAGGGUUGCCCCCAUUGUCCAAUAUUCCCCACUGCUGCCUCCCGUAGGAGUCUGGGCCGUGUCUCAGUCCCAGUGUGGCUGAUCAUCCUCUCAGACCAGCUACGGAUCGUCGCCUUGGUGAGCCGUUACCUCACCAACCAGCUAAUCCGACAUAGGCUCAUCCGAUAGCGCGAGGCCCGAAGGUCCCCCGCUUUCCCCCGUAGGGCGUAUGCGGUAUUAGCCUGGGUUUCCCCAGGUUAUCCCCCACUACCGGGCAGAUUCCUAUGCAUUACUCACCCGUCCGCCGCUCGCCACCAGGGAGCAAGCUCCCCGUGCUGCCGCUCGACUUGCAUGUGUAGCUCGCCGCCACGCGUCAUCUGAGCAUGAUACAACUACUCGA
rnacentral:rRNA from 1 species